rnacentral:rRNA from 1 species
AUUGAACGCCGGCGGCAUGCCUUACACAUGCAAGUCGAACGGCAGCACGGGAGCAAUCCUGGUGGCGAGUGGCGAACGGGUGAGUAAAGUAUCGGAACGUGCCCAGUCGUGGGGGAUAACGUAGCGAAAGUUACGCUAAUACCGCAUACGAUCUAUGGAUGAAAGCGGGGGAUCGCAAGACCUCGCGCGAUUGGAGCGGCCGAUAUCAGAUUAGGUAGUUGGUGGGGUAAAGGCUCACCAAGCCGACGAUCUGUAGCUGGUCUGAGAGGACGACCAGCCACACUGGGACUGAGACACGGCCCAGACUCCUACGGGAGGCAGCAGUGGGGAAUUUUGGACAAUGGGCGAAAGCCUGAUCCAGCCAUGCCGCGUGCAGGAUGAAGGCCUUCGGGUUGUAAACUGCUUUUGUACGGAACGAAAAGGUUUGGCCUAAUAAGCUGAGCUCAUGACGGUACCGUAAGAAUAAGCACCGGCUAACUACGUGCCAGCCGCCGCAGUAA